rnacentral:rRNA from 1 species
AGUCGAGCGGUAACAGGAAUUAGCUUGCUAAUUUGCUGACGAGCGGCGGACGGGAGAGUAACGCGUAGGAAUCUGCCUGGUAGUGGGGGACAACAUGUGGAAACGCAUGCUAAUACCGCAUACGCCCUACGGGGGAAAGGAGGGGAUCUUCGGACCUUUCGCUAUCAGAUGAGCCUGCGUGAGAUUAGCUAGUUGGUGGGGUAAAGGCUCACCAAGGCGACGAUCUCUAGCUGGUCUGAGAGGAUGAUCAGCCACACUGGGACUGAGACACGGCCCAGACUCCUACGGGAGGCAGCAGUGGGGAAUAUUGGACAAUGGGCGCAAGCCUGAUCCAGCCAUGCCGCGUGUGUGAAGAAGGCCUUCGGGUUGUAAAGCACUUUCAGAGGUGAGGAAGGGUGUGCCGUUAAUACCGGUAUGCUUUGACGUUAGCCUCAGAAGAAGCACCGGCUAACUCUGUGCCAGCAGCCGCGGUAAUACAGAGGGUGCGAGCGUUAAUCGGAAUUACUGGGCGUAAAGCGCGCGUAGGUGGUUUGUUAAGUCGGAUGUGAAAGCCCAGGGCUCAACCUUGGAAUUGCACCCGAUACUGGCAAGCUAGAGUACGGUAGAGGGGUGUGGAAUUUCCUGUGUAGCGGUGAAAUGCGUAGAUAUAGGAAGGAACAUCAGU